UAAGGCUAUUCAACCUUCAUAACAUGAGAACAAAACUUUUCUAAAAGUUCUCCACAGUCGUCACUCAUACAGUAAUUGAAAAUAUAAAUCCAUGCGUACUUCUUCCCACGGAAAACACAUGAACGCUUCACCCAAUUUGACAACACAUAUCUACGACUAUUGUGUAAAAAUUCCCAAGUCCUAGCAUACUUCUUUUGUGAAACACUUUUCUUUAACACAAUUACUAUUAUUUUUACAGGAAUGAUGUUUUCAAAAAUAAUAGGAGUACACCACUGCCCCUGAAACAUAGCAUUCGUUUCCCGAAUAAGGGUCUUGGAGUGUCGCAUAGAGCUUACAACCUUACAAGGAACGACCAAGCAAGAAAUAUACCUACACGUCCAGGAACUACACACCAGGAUCCUAUUUCACCUAGGUAGGAUCACAUGAUUUUAGUCCCCAGUAAGACAUAAUUCGUAUGUCCGUUCCACACUUGCGUUUUAUAACUGAUUUUCACAACUCUAUCAAUUAGUCAUCCACAUUCCAUGUGGAAAAUUCAACAACAAACGCAGCCAUAACCUCUGCAAGAUGACCGAUUUUUACGCCUAGGGUAAAUUUGGAUUUUGAAAGUGAUGUUGACGAUGACUCAGACUACGACCCGUUCUUAGAUUAUUACGAUUUAGGUGAUACAAUGAUUGAGUGUAGACAUUGUAAGAUGUUGAUGUGGUAUCAAGAGAGAAUGGACAAACAUAAACAUGCAGAAAAUCCCAAAUACAAAUUAUGUUGUGGUAAUGGCAAAGUUGAACAACCUUCCUUGAAACAUCCUCCAAGUUUGCUGUCCCAUUUUCUAUUUGAUCAAGAUUCCAAAGAUAGUAAGAAUUUCCAAUCACAAGGAAAAACAUACAACAUGAUAUUUACGUUCACUUCACUCGGUGCUAAAUUGGACAACAAAUUCAAUUAUGGAACGGGUCCACCUACAAUAAGAAUCCAAGGUCAAACUUGUCACCGCAUUGGGAGUUUAUUGCCACCUAAAGGAACAAAAAAAUUAUCGAUCCUAGCAUCGUACAUAAGCUAUAUGAUAUGUUGUACACUCAUAACACACAUGCCAAGAGUUUCCUCAUGGUAAGACAGAGACUUAAUCAAGGGAGUGUACACAACUUGAAACUCAUACUUAUUUCAAAUAAAUCUACAGAUGGAAGAGUGUACAACCAACCAACUAUUUCGAAGGCUACUGCUUUAAUUGUUAUGAUGUUGACACGGCCGAAGAAAGAGACAUUAUUAGGCAAAGACAAUGGGGAUCACUAAAACAUAUUCAUGAAUUUCAUGCAAUCUAUUUGGCUUACCAUAUCCAUUGAUAUUUUCAUAUGGAGAAGAUGGAUAUAGACCAAAUGUUGCUCACUGAGAUCUCAAUAUCUACGACGAUAGCCCAAGAAAUAGACUUACUAUUCGAGAGUGGUUAACUUUUCGAAUCCAUACAAGAUGUGAAGAAGGUAAAACUAUUUUUUCGUCUAGGAUAUUGUUUCAACAGUUUUUGGUGGACGGUUACAUCAUGCUAGGGGGAACGAUUGAAAUGGCUUCGUAACAAUCAAUCUAAGCCUCAAGUUUCAAAGUAUUGAAGUCUUAAUGAAGAAGGAGACCAAAGUCAAGCAAUUGAGUCAAGCACAAGAAAAUGAAUCAUCUUACCUUCAUCUUAUGUUGGUAGUAGGAGAUUUAUGGAUCAACUAUACUAUGAUUGAAUGAUCAUUUGUAGUUAAGUCGAAUUUCUAGAUUUAUUCAUUACUUUCACCUGCAAUCCAAAUUCGCUUGAGAUUCAGCGAGUUUA